rnacentral:rRNA from 1 species
CAGCAGCCGCGGUAAUACGAAGGGUGCAAGCGUUAAUCGGAAUUACUGGGCGUAAAGCGUGCGUAGGCGGUGAGUUAAGUCUGCUGUGAAAUCCCCGGGCUCAACCUGGGAAUGGCAGUGGAUACUGGCUCGCUAGAGUGUGUCAGAGGAUGGUGGAAUUCUCGGUGUAGCGGUGAAAUGCGUAGAGAUCGGGAGGAACAUCAGUGGCGAAGGCGGCCAUCUGGGACAACACUGACGCUGAGGCACGAAAGCGUGGGGAGCAAACAGGAUUAGAUACCCCUGUAGUCCCUGUCUCUUAUAC